GUCAAGGCCAGGGGCCCCGUCACUCCUGAAGAUCCAGGCUUCCCCUCAGUGCCCCCGGCCAUCCCAGCCCCUCCUGAGCAGCAGGCAGGGGCCCAGGCUCCUGAGAGCACCGGAGGGUCCCCUCGGGAUGGCUGCUGCCGGGCGCGGGGGCCUGGACGCGUCACACCUCUCCGGCUCCAUCCUGCCCCCUCCCAGGCUCUGUAAGCUGCACCUGUAGCUCCUCAAGAUAGGGACACGGCUGACCUCUGCCAAGGGCAAAGUGACCACCGUAGGGCCGACCGGCUGUGGGAGGCAGCACGGCCCUGCCGCCCUGGGGCACAGUGGCAGCCGCCUGCUCUGCUUCCUCCUUAAGGGAUGUGACUAGGUGGGGGGCCCCUCUCUGGAAGGACCCACUGGGCUCGUCCCAGCUCCGUCAGGCCCACCAGACUGGCCCGAUGAGAUGGGCCCUAGAACAGGGACUGUCCCCUUGGCACUGGGGACCUUGGGGCCGGCGGGUGUCAUGGGUGCCAGCAGCACUCCUGGCUCUGGGCUGGGCUGGGGCAGUGUGACCUGUGCCCCUGCUCCAGGCCCUCCACUUGGCUCCUGGCACGGCAGAGUGCUGGGGGUCAGAAAGGACCCUGGUGAGAGCCAGCCCAGGUCCAAGGCCAUCACAUUCUAGAGAGGGGUGUGGCACCAACACAGUGCCACAUCCAGUAGCAAGAGGGCCCUGAGGAGAGAUGGCAAAGGGACAGGGACGUUCCACCCAGGGGCCAGGUGACACCUGAGAGGCACCAGCGGAAGAGCAGUCAGUCCAAAGGCCCUGGGGCAGCUCCUGUGCCUGGCUGCUGUGCGAAGAGCUCAGGUGUUCCGGCGCUUUCCUGCCACAGGGAGGCUUCAUCAGCUCCCCUCCUCCAAGGUGAUGGUGAGGAGCCCCCAUCCCUCAGGAGCGUCCAGGCCACCUGUGGGGCCGGGCAGGAGCUCGGGGGAGGCGCGUGUCCUCCGUGCUGGGCUGUGGUCCUGGGGAGCCACAGAUACUGACGGGCAGAAACGGGCUUAGAGAUGGCAGCCCAUUUGUUUUGGAAGACAAGCUGCGUUUUGAC
rnacentral:lncRNA from 1 species